UACGGUAGGGCGCAAGCGUUUAUCCGGAAUUAUUGGGCGUAAAGAGCUCGUAGGCGGCCCUGUAAGUCAGUGGUGAAAUGCUCUAGCUUAACUAGAGAGGUGCCAAUGAUACUGCAGGGCUUGAGUACAGAUGAGGUAGGCGGAAUUGACGGUGUAGCGGUGAAAAUGCAUAGAUAUCGUCAAGAACACCGGAUAGCGAAGGCAGCUUACUGGGCUGUAAACUGACGC
rnacentral:rRNA from 1 species